rnacentral:rRNA from 1 species
CACGUAGGGUGCGAGCGUUUGUCCGGAAUUAUUGGGCGUAAAGAGCUCGUAGGCGGUGUGUCGCGUCGGCCGUGAAAACCUGCAGCUUAACUGUGGGCUUGCGGUCGAUACGGGCAUCACUUGGAGUUCGGCAGGGGGAGACUGGAAUUCCUGGUGUAGCGGUGAAAUGCGCAGAUAUCAGGAGGAACACCGAUGGCGAAGG